rnacentral:lncRNA from 1 species
GAUUGGGCGUUCUGGUACCCAUUCGGAUUCUGUUCGGAUCUAUUCGGGUUUCUGGUUUUCGGGAUUAAAGAUUUUAGCCACAUUCGAGUAUUUAUAAAUUCCGGUUAUAGUUUGGGUUCGGUUCGGAUCUUUGUUGUUUCAGUUUGGGUUCUGAUAAUCCAUUUAUAUUAAUUUUUAAAAUCUAAAAUUUAUUAUAUACUUUAAUUUU